UACGUAGGGUGCGAGCGUUGUCCGGAAUUAUUGGGCGUAAAGAGCUCGUAGGCGGUGUGUCACGUCGUUCGUGAAAAACCUGCAGCUUAACUGUGGGCGUGCGGUCGAUACGGGCAUCACUGGAGUUCGGCAGGGGGAGACUGGAAUUCCUGGUGUAGCGGUGGAAUGCGCAGAUAUCAGGAGGAACACCGGUGGCGAAGGCGGGGUCUCUGGGGCCGAGUAACUGACGCUGAGGAGCGAAAAGCGUGGGGGAGCGAACAGG
rnacentral:rRNA from 1 species